rnacentral:piRNA from 1 species
UAAGAAAACUGGUAUGUGUUGCCUGGG